ACAUAAACACAUGAUACAUGUGAAUAUAAGUUUUGAAUAAUAAAAUCUAUGUUUAAUAUACAUUUAUCACUAUUGUAAUAUAUUAUUAUUUUUUUUAAUAUAUUAUGAUAGUCUGUUAUAUACAUACAUAUGUAUAUAAUGAAGUAUACACACAAGCAUACGAGGUGUGUUCAAAAAGUAUCGCGAAUUUUGUGUUUUUUCAAAAAUUAUUUUUUUAAUCAUGAAUAUCUAUUUUGUCCCCUUCAAAGUAAUCCCCAUGAGAUAUUAUGCACUAGUGCCAACUGUUUUUCCAAUUUUCGAAGCACUUCAUAAAAUCAUUUUUUUUUUUUAUCUUCUUCAGCUCCUCCUUCGAUGCCGCCUUUAUCUCGUCAAGAGAAGCGUAACGUCGUCCUGACAUGGACCUCUUCCAGUUUAGGGAACAAGAAAAAGUCACAGGGUGCCAGAUCUGGGGAAUACGGUGGCUGCGGUAUCAUUAGUGUGUUGUUUUUGGCCAAAAAGUCGUGCACAAGCAUCGAUGUGUGAGCAGGGGCGUUAUCGUGGUGCAAUUUUUUUGAGAGGUAAAAAUCGAAGACGAUCCAAAACACGUGCAAGCAAAGCAGCUGUCAACAAUUAAAUGAACAUUCAAAAUGGCCGAGCUUGUCGGCAUAAGUGAGAGACAUGAGUACCAACAUAACGCCACAAAAAAUUCGAAAUUCGAAUAUACGUAACACGCGAAAAUUCAAAGUUCGCGAUACUUUUUGAACACACCUCGUAAAUAUAUCAAAUACAAGAAACAAUUGAAAAAGUAUGCUUUAUUUUCACAUUAACUACGAAUAUUGCUUUGAAAAAGUAAUUUAAUUCAAAUGUAUUCAAUUGCACAUGUAUUCAUUAAUAUGCACAAAAAGAAUUCAUACUAAUACACAUAAAAUAUAAAAACACUAGCUGACCCGUCGAACUUCGCCCUGCCCAAUUUUUAUUUGAAAUAGUUAAAACGCUUUUUGAACUCUGUUCAAGGCCAUUAUGCCCGGUUUCACAGUCCAUACUUAUGUUGUGCUUAAGAUAAAACAGGAAAAUAGUGUUUUACAGUUCACUGAAAAUUGGAGUCUUAAGCAAUGCUUAAAUAACAGCUGAUUUUUGUUUUGAAUUUGCUUUGAAUUUUCAGCGACAUCUUUCGUAGCGUAGGGCAAGUGUCCGUUCGCUUGCACUCAAUAACAGCUUAUACUUUUCCUUCAGUUCCAAUGGGUGCUCCGACUCGCUAGUGAUGAAAUUUUGGGUUCUUUUGUUGUUUUCAUCCAUUUUUGAUAUAAUUUUCCUCGCAAAUUUAUGUAUUGUUUGUUAUAAUUUAAAUAUUUCAAACAUAUUUUUAUGAAUAACAUUUGUAAAACAUAUGUUGCCCACAACGUUGCCAUAUAUUAUAAUAAAAUUUUAUAGAAAUUAAGCAUUGACUGUGAAACGCAAUCGACUGCUCAGUUUGCAACAAUGCUUAGCUAAGAUUUUAUUUAGGCACAACUUAAGUAUGGACUGUGAAACCGGGCAUUAGUAUCACAAAUAAGUGUCAAUAAAUGUAUUCUCAUGUAGCGCCAUCUACUGCAAUAGCACAUAUAGGUCUAAAUUUAACUACAAAUGUACAUUUAGCCAUACAAAAAUCUAUACAUAAAUGCAACUAAAUGAAAUUUUUUUUUGCAUUUAGGAAAUACAUGCAGAAAUCAACUCUGCGAUUUCCUAAAUUUCUCUGAAAUCUCCCAAAUUCGAGGAAGAUUUACUGGAAAAGAGUGGCAGCAUUGCUUAUUUGUCUGACCAUACAUAUGUACAUAACUUUAUUUAUUUCACGGAUUGUAUGUGAUUUUUUCUUAAAUUUAGAAUACUGGAAUUCAUAGACUCGUAUAACUUUACCACAAAUAAUAUAAACUUCAAACAACACAUUUUCAUUUAAUGUUUUUAGCAAGUAGCAGCUUUUGUUAUGACAGCCUAAAUCCAUGAAAAUUGAGAAAGAAAUGUAGCGCCAUCUACUGUAACAUACCGCUGUUAGCGCCACCAACUGGUGGAUAGCUCUUUGCUAAUAAUAAACAAAUAAUUUGCAAUAAAUAAAUAAUGCGACUAUAAGGAGAGUUAUAAACUAUCCUAUCUUUCAAGUUGGACCAAACUGCACACAGUGUUAAAAAUUUCAUUAAAAUCGGUUCAGUAGUUUAGGAGUCCAUCGAAAUCAAACAACGGGACACGUGAUUUUUAUAUAUUAAGAUAAGCAAAACAGCUAACAUACAUAUGUAUGUAACAGCAAUAUACAUACAUAUAGUUCUGAGCAUUAUUUGUAUUCAAUGCUCAGCCACAGUAUAUACAGUAGAUAACCUUUACGUGGUAGCUUUCUGAGGGGUGAAUAGCGGCCAUCUUGGAUUUUCAGUGCUGUAUAAAUUGAGGGGCAAUAUUACGAUUUUUCCGGCGCCGCGAUUUGAUGGUACGGAUGGAUAGAGGAGGUCCUCAGCAUUAAAAAAUGUAUACACAUAUACGGUCCUCAGACCCAUAGUUUUCGAGAUAUUUCACUUUAAAGUUCAAAAAUUUGUAAAAACAAUGCUCGUUAUUUCACUAUGUUUAACCCACUUUUCACAUAUUUUUUAAUUAAUAUAUAUUUAAUUACACUGUACACAUUCGUAUUUAUCAAAAAUUUACACUAAUUGUAUAUUUUUUAAGAAAAUAAAUAUACUUUAAAAAUUAUUUUGCA